GUCGAACGGUGAUGACCAGCUUGCUGGUCGGAUCAGUGGCGAACGGGUGAGUAACACGUGAGUAACCUGCCCCAGACUCUGGGAUAAGCCUUGGAAACGAGGUCUAAUACUGGAUAUGAGAUGCCCCUGCAUGGGGAGUGUCUGGAAAGAUUUAUCGGUCUGGGAUGGACUCGCGGCCUAUCAGCUUGUUGGUGGGGUAAUGGCCUACCAAGGCGACGACGGGUAGCCGGCCUGAGAGGGCGACCGGCCACACUGGGACUGAGACACGGCCCAGACUCCUACGGGAGGCAGCAGUGGGGAAUAUUGCACAAUGGGCGCAAGCCUGAUGCAGCGACGCCGCGUGAGGGAUGAAGGCCUUCGGGUUGUAAACCUCUUUCAGCAGGGAAGAAGCGCAAGUGACGGUACCUGCAGAAGAAGCGCCGGCUAACUACGUGCCAGCAGCCGCGGUAAUACGUAGGGCGCAAGCGUUGUCCGGAAUUAUUGGGCGUAAAGAGCUCGUAGGCGGUUUGUCGCGUCUGGUGUGAAAACUCAAGGCUCAACCUUGAGCUUGCAUCGGGUACGGGCAGACUAGAGUGCGGUAGGGGUGACUGGAAUUCCUGGUGUAGCGGUGGAAUGCGCAGAUAUCAGGAGGAACACCGAUGGCGAAGGCAGGUCACUGGGCCGCAACUGACGCUGAGGAGCGAAAGCAUGGGGAGCGAACAGGAUUAGAUACCCUGGUAGUCCAUGCCGUAAACGUUGGGCACUAGGUGUGGGGCUCAUUCCACGAGUUCCGUGCCGCAGCAAACGC
rnacentral:rRNA from 1 species